AUUAAUAAUUAUUGUAUUUAUUGUCUUGAUAAUUAAAAAUCUAGUGUAUUAAUUAAUUGAUUUGUUUAAAAUUGGUAUUAAUACUACCUAUUGCAAUUAUAAGUGUUGAAAAGAUAUUAUUUGCAAUGAAAUUGUAAAGCCUUGAUUGCGAAAUCGAAUGAGAGACUGUUAAUUGUAUAUAUUGAACUAUGUUUUUUGAUAGUAUUAGUAAAUGAGGCAAUCAAGUAAUACUUUUAGAAAAUUAAAACUCGUUAAGAAUAAUUGUAAAUUUAAAAUUAUAGUGA
rnacentral:misc_RNA from 1 species